rfam:Pteropus alecto contig60878, whole genome shotgun sequence.
CUCUACGGCCAUACCACCCUGAAUGAGCCCGACCCAGUCUGAUCUCGGAAGCUAAGCAGGGUCGGGCUUGGUUAGUACUUGGAUGGGAGACCACCUAGGAAGACCAGGUGCUGUAAGCA